rnacentral:rRNA from 1 species
CACGUAGGGCGCGAGCGUUGUCCGGAAUUAUUGGGCGUAAAGAGCUCGUAGGCGGCCUGUUGCGUCCGCUGUGAAAGCCCGGGGCUUAACCCCGGGUCGGCAGUGGAUACGGGCAGGCUAGAGGUAGGUAGGGGAGAAUGGAAUUCCGUGGUGAGCGGUGAAAUGCGCAGAUAUCAGGAAGAACACCCGUGGCUAAGGCGGCUCUCUAGUACGGUACUGACGCUGAGACGCGAAAGCGUGGGGGAGCGAACAGG